GACGAACGCUGGCGGCGCGCCUAACACAUGCAAGUCGAACGAGCGAGAGAGAGCUUGCUUUCUCGAGCGAGUGGCGAACGGGUGAGUAACGCGUGAGGAACCUGCCUCAAAGAGGGGGACAACAGUUGGAAACGACUGCUAAUACCGCAUAAGCCCACGACCCGGCAUCGGGUAGAGGGAAAAGGAGCAAUCCGCUUUGAGAUGGCCUCGCGUCCGAUUCGCUAGUUGGUGAGGUAACGGCCCACCAAGGCGACGAUCGGUAGCCGGACUGAGAGGUUGAACGGCCACCUUGGGACUGAGACACGGCCCAGACUCCUACGGGAGGCAGCAGUGGGGAAUAUUGCACAAUGGGGGAAACCCUGAUGCAGCGACGCCGCGUGGAGGAAGAAGGUCUUCGGAUUGUAAACUCCUGUUGUUGAGGAAGAUAAUGACGGUACUCAACAAGGAAGUGACGGCUAACUACGUG
rnacentral:rRNA from 1 species